rnacentral:rRNA from 1 species
UGGGGAAUCUUGCGCAAUGGCCGAAAGGCUGACGCAGCGACGCCGCGUGAGGGAUGACGGCCUUCGGGUUGUAAACCUCUGUUGCCCGGGACGAAUGCCCUCUUUAGAGAGGGGUGACGGUACCGGGUGAGGAAGCACCGGCUAACUCUGUGCCAGCAGCCGCGGUAAUACAGAGGGUGCGAGCGUUGUCCGGAAUCACUGGGCGUAAAGGGCGCGUAGGCGGUCUGCUAAGCGUGUGGUGAAAGCCCGGGGCUCAACCCCGGGUCGGCCAUGCGAACUGGUGGACUGGAGCUUGUCAGAGGCAGGCGGAAUUCCGGGUGUAGCGGUGGAAUGCGUAGAGAUCCGGAAGAACACCGGUGGCGAAGGCGGCCUGCUGGGACAGUGCUGACGCUGAAGCGCGACAGCGUGGGGAGCAAACAG